UACGUAGGUGGCAAGCGUUGUCCGGAUUUACUGGGCGUAAAGAGCGCGCAGGCGGUCGUUCAAGUCGCGUGUGAAAGCCCCCGGCUCAACUGGGGAGGGUCACGCGAUACUGAUCGACUCGAAGGCAGGAGAGGGAAGUGGAAUUCCCGGUGUAGUGGUGAAAUGCGUAGAUAUCGGGAGGAACACCAGUGGCGAAGGCGACUUCCUGGCCUGUUCUUGACGCUGAGGCGCGAAAGCUAGGGGAGCAAAGCGGGGAUUA
rnacentral:rRNA from 1 species